rnacentral:lncRNA from 1 species
AGCCUUUUCAUUAAUAGAAACCAUAAAUACAGUCCGAAAAUAAACAAUGCACCAUGCAUAAUUAACGGGAAAGGUGAAAUAUACACAACGCAAUGUUGGAAAGAUUGAAAUACAAAUACAUGCACAAAUUACAUAAUUAAGGAGACAAACAGCAGAUUCUCCAUUACAAUCCCUUAAUUUACGUCCUCAGAAUGGCCUAUACCAGGACUAUGGCCGGGAGUCGUAGGGCGAAAAGAAUCCACAGAUCCUUCAGUGAAGUUAAAUUCAUGUUUCUGCAGCAACUGUACUCUAGGGUUCGAAACAAUGCUGUUAGGCCCCGGUAUUGUUACUUUUGCAUCUGGAAUAUUAACAAAUUUAAACAUUCUUCCUUCAGUGAGAAAAGAUUCAUUUGAUACUAUAACAAGAAGAAAAAACAUACAAGUAAAGAAUUUGGCCAUGAAAUUAUUUUUUAUUUUUUUCCAAAAAGAUCAAAAGUUUC